GCGCGUGUAGCUCAGCGGUUAGAGCAUCAAACUUAUAAUUUGGGGGUCGGUGGUUCGAGUCCACCCACGCGCA
rnacentral:tRNA from 1 species